UUGUUGUUAUUGUUAUGGUUUUAAUUUUGUAUUUACAAGUUGUUCUAUUUUUUCAGUGCAAUGUUUAUGUAACCCAGCUCCAGAAGGGUUAAUAAAUAAAAUCAAUUAAUUUGCAGUCAUUAUUUAAUUAUUUCCUUAUGUUUAUAAGUGUUUUGUAUUUUACUUUGAAAAACCUGAAGUUUAUUUUGAAGACCGGAAGUAGUAGGCCGCGCUAGUGAAGCAGUUUAACCUCACUAAUGCACAGACGGAGCACGCCACUUCACUUCCGCGUGAGAGAGAAAAACGGGAAAAAAGAGAGAGGAAAAACCGUCGUUGAAGCACUUUCCGGCCGCGUUUCUCCUGAAAAAACCAUUGGUCAGGUUCUAUUGUGAUGCUUGGAAAGAGUGAAGCUUCAGCUUUCAUGUCUGACGAAGCUGAUGAGCGAUCCAACUGAUGGCGAGCUCCCAGUCCACCUUCGGUGCUUCAAGCAGAACUUUUAAUUCCGCCACACCACUUAACGGAUUAAGUGGUAGGAUUUGUGUCAGUCCAACUGAC